UAUAAUGCAUUUUAAUGUUUGUCUCCUGUGCUUUAGGUGAACGGGACAUUGGUGACGCAAUCGAACCACGUUGAAGUGGUGAAAUUAAUCAAAUCUGGCUCAUACGUGGCCCUCACAGUGUUAGGCCGGCCUCCCGGGUUACCCCAGAUCCCCCUCUCGGAGGUAGACGUGGGUCUCGGGUCACCGGGGGGAUUAUGGGGACCCCUUUGUUUCAUCUCCCAACUCUUACAAUGCAGCGAAACGUACCUCCUCUCCUUUGGUAUCAUGGGAAGAGAACAGUUCUCCACUUAUCCAAAGAAUGGACAACAAGAGGAUGGUGUUCAUAGAACAACAGGACAUAAAGGGUCAGA